GAGGGMAAGYCUGGUGCCAGCAGCCGCGGUAAUUCCAGCUCCAGUAGCGUAUAUUAAAGUUGUUGCAGUUAAAAAGCUCGUAGUUGGAUUUGUGGUGUUUUUUUUUUUAUUUGCUUUUUUGGUCUCUUUUCAUCGUUUUUAACUUUGAAUCUGAGACUUGAAAGCGAGAACACCAUCCUUGACAGGUUUGAAAGUGAUAUUAUAUCACCGCAAACAUUGUCAUCCUUUACUUUGAAAAAAUUGGAGUGAUUCAAGCAGGCAAGAAUUAUAAUUUUAAUUUUUAAUUUAACUUUGCUUCUGCACAUGUUAGCAUGGAAUAAUGCAAGAGGACUUGGGUUUUCUCUUUCAUUGGUUUCAGGAAUCCGAGUAAUGAUUGAUAGGGACAGUUGGGGGUGCUCGUACUCGACGGCCAGAGGUGAAAUUCUUGGAUUCGUUGAAGACGAACAACUGCGAAAGCAUUCACCAAGGAUGUCUUCUUUAAUCAAGAACGAAAGUUGGGGGAUCGAAGAUGAUCAGAUACCGUCGUAGUCCCAACCAUAAACGACGCCGACCAGGGAUCAGCGAGCGUUGACUUGGCGUUCUCCUUAUUUUCUUUUUUGAGAAUUCGUAGAUUUUGCCAACCUCAUUAAUUUGAAACGACCUCGUUGGCACCUUGCGAGAAAUCACCAGUCUUUGGGCUCCGGGGGGAGUAUGGUCGCAAGGCUGAAACUUAAAGGAAUUGACGGAAGGGCACAACCAGCAGUGGAGCCUGCGGCUUAAAUUGACUCAACACGGGGAAACUUACCAGGUCCAGACAUCAUAAGGAUUGACAGAUUGAAGHUCUUUCUUGAUUYKRUGG
rnacentral:rRNA from 1 species